CCUACGGGUGGCAGCAGUGGGGAAUAUUGGACAAUGGGCGAAAGCCUGAUCCAGCCAUGCCGCGUGUGUGAAGAAGGCCUUCGGGUUGUAAAGCACUUUCAGUGGGGAAGAAAGCCUUGGGGCUAAUACCCUCGAGGAAGGACAUCACCCACAGAAGAAGCACCGGCUAACUCCGUGCCAGCAGCCGCGGUAAUACGGAGGGUGCGAGCGUUAAUCGGAAUUACUGGGCGUAAAGCGCGCGUAGGCGGUCUGAUAAGCCGGUUGUGAAAGCCCCGGGCUCAACCUGGGAACGGCAUCCGGAACUGUCAGGCUAGAGUGCAGGAGAGGAAGGGAGAAUUCCCGGUGUAGCGGUGAAAUGCGUAGAGAUCGGGAGGAAUACCAGUGGCGAAGGCGGCCUUCUGGACUGACACUGACGCUGAGGUGCGAAAGCGUGGGUAGCAAACAGGAUUAGAUACCCCUGUAGUC
rnacentral:rRNA from 1 species